CAGCCGUAAACAAUGUGCGUUAGGUGUGUCGGUAACCACGCGUUACUGAUGCGCCGAAGAGAAAUCGUGAAACGCACCACCUGGGAAGUACGGUCGCAAGGCUGAAACUUAAAGGGAUUGGCGGGGGAGCACCACAACAGGUGGAGCCUGCGGUUUAAUUGGAUUCAACGCCGGACAUCUCACCGGAUAAGACAGCUGAAUGAUUGUCAAUCUGAAGGUUUUACAUGACUAGCUGAGAGGAGGUGCAUGGCGUCAGUGACU
rnacentral:rRNA from 1 species